rnacentral:rRNA from 1 species
CCUACGGGUGGCAGCAGUGAGGAAUAUUGGUCAAUGGUCGGGAGACUGAACCAGCCAAGCCGCGUGAGGGAUGAAGGUACAGAGUAUCGUAAACCUCUUUUGUCAGGGAACAAAGGCGGGGACGUGUCCCCGGAUGAGUGUACCUGAAGAAAAAGCAUCGGCUAACUCCGUGCCAGCAGCCGCGGUAAUAAGGAGGAUGUGAGCUUUAGCCGGAUUUGUUGGGUUUAAAGGGUGCGCAGGCGGUGUGUUAAGUCAGCGGGCCAAGCCCGGGGCUCACACCCGGCCCGCCGUUGAAACUGGCCGUCUGGAGUUGGAGAGAAGUAUGCGGAAUGCGCGGUGUAGCGGUGAAAUGCAUAGAUAUCGCGCAGAACUCCGAUUGCGAAGGCAGCAUGCCGGCUCCACACUGACGCUGUGGCACGAAAGCGUGGGUAUCGAACAGGAUUAGAUACCCGUGUAGUC